UCAUGUGUUUUCCUAUUUUAGAAUAUUAAUAUGGUGAACUAUAUUAUUAGAUUUUUUUAAAUAUUGAAACUGUCUUGCAUUUCUGGAAUAAACACGGCUUGGUCAUGUGUGUCACUUUUUUACAUAGUGUCGUAUUCAAGUUAUUGAGGAUUUUGCAUCUAGGGUAUACUUGUAGAUUUGCAGAUUUGCAUCUAGGUUAUGUUGGUCUAAAGUUUUGUUUGUUUUUUUUCCUUUUCUUUUUUUAUCAUCUUUGUCUUAUUCUGUUUAAGUGUCAUGCUUGCUUCAUAAAAUGAAUUGAGAAACAUUUCUUCCUCUUCUGUUUCUCGAAAAUUGUAGAGAACUCUUGUUUUUUGUUGUUGUUUGUUUGUUGUUUUGUUUUUUUCUUAUUUUUAUCCUCAUACUGAGAACCAAAUAGUCUGGAGUGUAAAAUAUGGUUCCUCAUUCCAGUUAAGUCUAGUACACAAUGACAACAACCAUCUUGGGUUAAGCAUUGGCCUACAAACAGAAAAAAACCUUCAGGGAGAUAGAUGCUGAUCUAGGCAUUGUGAGAAAAGCUGAAUUCAUUUUUAAUCAUGAAUGGCUUUUAAGGAAAGAAGAUUUAUUAACUAAAAUAAAUAGAUUAGAGGGAAUUCUCAUCUAUGAGAGAGGAAGGGAUGGGAUUCAACCUGGAAAAAAUGAUGAAGUUUUAGUGAACUGGGUAAGGUAGACUCAACAAUUAAUGAUGGAUAAUGCUAGGACCCAGCACCGGUAAUGAGCUUGUAUUAUGACUCAAUAGCAUCACUUUAUCACUUUAACGCAGAUGGAGGCCUAAAUAACCAUAGGGCAAUGGUUCUUCUUAGAUGCAGAAGGACACAUUUAUAUAAUCUUAGGGACCCCAUCUCUGAGGUCACUCAUAAUUUAUAUUAAUUCAUUAUUAUUGCCAUUGCCCCAAGAAUAGAUAAGGAUAAGACAUCCUGUAGCACAGGUAGCAGAGAUAUAAACUAUUCUUAUUCUUGUGUCUUGUCUAUAGGAAGGGAGUGUAUCCUGGUGUAUGACAGCAUAUAGUAGAGACCAGUGUCAAUUAGGGCCUGUGAACUGAGACAGGGUGACUGGCUAAGUCCACAACCCAUUAGAAACCCAGAAAUAAUCAAAUCAUGAGGGAUCAUGGAAAGGAAGCUGAAUUUGCUGAGUUUUGCCACGUGGGCAUUGCAUGCCUAUGUGAUUAACCACCAAUAAAAACCUGGGACAUCAAAAAAUAAAUAAGCUGCUUUAAUUGCCAAGAAUUCACAUGUGGUUGUAUGCAGCAUUACUGGGAGAUUGAAGUGUAUCUGCAUGUGAUUCUACUGUGAUGGACACUUGUAAAUUUGUGCCUGGAGUCUCCUGGAAUUUGCCCUGAGAAUCUUUUUCCUUUGUUGAUAAGAAUCUGCAUCCUUUUGUUUUAAUAAACGAUAAACAUGAGUAUAAUUGC
rnacentral:lncRNA from 1 species